GAGCACGUAGGUGGGUUUGUAAGUCAGAUGUGAAAGCCUUCUGUUCAACGGGAGAAUUGCAUCCGAAACUACAGACCUUGAGUAUAGGAGGGGAGAGUGGAACUUCUGGUGGAGCGGUGAAAUGCGUAGAUAUCAGAAGGAACGCCGGCGGCGAAAAGCGAUUCUCUGGCCUAUUACUGACACUCAGUGCGCGAAAGCUAGGGGAGCAAACGGGAUUAGAUACCCCGGUAGUCCUAGCCGUAAACGAUGGGCACUAAGUAGAGGGGUUUU
rnacentral:rRNA from 1 species